UUAAAAUUUUGAUUCUGGAACAGUUGGCCUUGUGCAAUAUCGACAUAUUGGGACAUAUAUUGACUAUGACGAUUUGCGGAUCAGUUCUCCUUAGUCCUUCGAGGUUCAACAUCGAAGAUUUUUCAGUUUGUCUUUGCUACAAUUAUCAACGAAAAUUUUAAAACUGCAUUACAAUCGCGCGCGUAGUAAUGACGUAAUCGAGUGUUUGUUUCGCUAAAAUAAAAAUUAUCGCGAAGUAGAAGCAGUGUUUGUUCGUUCGCGUUUCGCGAUUUAAUCAUCAAAUGUUUUUUCAUCGACUGCGUGCAAUGCAGUCGUUAGAGUCAGUAUUUGUUCGCAAAAUGUAUUGCUUUUUUAACAGUCAUACAGACUGUAUUUAUAAAAGAUAGUAGAUUUUCGCGAAUUAACUUCAGUGACCGUU